rnacentral:rRNA from 1 species
UACGUAGGGUGCAAGCGUUGUCCGGAAUUAUUGGGCGUAAAGAGCUUGUAGGCGGUUUGUCGCGUCUGCUGUGAAAUUUCGGGGCUCAACCCCGAACUUGCAGUGGGUACGGGCAGACUAGAGUGUGGUAGGGGAGACUGGAAUUCCUGGUGUAGCGGUGAAGUGCGCAGAUAUCAGGAGGAACACCGGUGGCGAAGGCGGGUCUCUGGGCCGAUACUGACGCUGAGGAGCGAAAGCGUGGGGAGCGAACAGG